rnacentral:rRNA from 1 species
AGUGAACGCUGGCGGUAGGCCUAACACAUGCAAGUCGAACGGCAGCACAGUAAGAGCUUGCUCUUACGGGUGGCGAGUGGCGGACGGGUGAGGAAUACAUCGGAAUCUACUUUUUCGUGGGGGAUAACGUAGGGAAACUUACGCUAAUACCGCAUACGACCUACGGGUGAAAGCAGGGGAUCUUUGGACCUUGCGCGAUUGAAUGAGCCGAUGUCGGAUUAGCUAGUUGGCGGGGUAAAGGCCCACCAAGGCGACGAUCCGUAGCUGGUCUGAGAGGAUGGUCAGCCACACGGGAACUGAGACACGGUCUAGACUCCUACGGGAAGCAGCAGUGGGGAAUAUUAGACAAUGGGCGCAAGCCUGAUCCAGCCAUACCGCGUGUGUGAAGAAGGCCUUCGGGUUGUAAAGCCCUUUUGUUGGGAGAGAAAAGCAGCAGGUUAAUACCCCGCUGUUCUGACGGUACCCGAAGAAUAAGCACCGGCUAACUUCGUG